rnacentral:rRNA from 1 species
UGAGGAAUAUUGCACAAUGGGCGAAAGCCUGAUGCAGCAACGCCGCGUGGGGGACGAAGGCCUUCGGGUCGUAAACCUCUUUUCUGGGGGACGAGUAAGGACGGUACUCCAGGAAUAAGUCUCGGCUAACUACGUGCCAGCAGCCGCGGUAAAACGUGGGAGGCGAGCGUUAUCCGGAUUUACUGGGCGUAAAGCGUACGCAGGUGGCUUCGUUAGUCGGACAUGAAAGCUCCUGGCUUAACUGGGAGAGGUUGUUCGAUACUGCGGGGCUUGAGGUUGGGAGAGGGACGUGGAAUUCCCGGUGUAGUGGUGAAUGCGUAGAUAUCGGGAGGAACACCAGUGGCGCAAGCGGCGUCCUGGCCCACACCUGACGCUGAGGUACGAAAGCGUGGGUAGCAAACAG